rnacentral:rRNA from 1 species
AUUGAACGCUGGCGGCAGGCCUAACACAUGCAAGUCGAACGAGUGGCAGACGGGUGAGUAAUGUCUGGGAAACUGCCCGAUGGCGGGGGAUAACUACUGGAAACGGUAGCUAAUACCGCAUACCAUCGGAUGUGCCCAGAUGUGAUUAGCUAGUAGGUGGGGUAACGGCUCACCUAGGCGACCAUCCCUCGCUGGUCUGAGAGGAUGAGAGGCCACACGGGAACUGAGACAGGGUCCAGAGUCCUACGGUAGGGAGCAGGGGGGAACAGUGCACAAUGGGCGCAAGCCUGAUGCAGCCAUGCCGCGUGUAUGAAGAAGGCCUUCGGGUUGUAAAGUAGUUUCAGCGAGGAGGCGUUACUCGCAGAAGAAGCACCGGCUAACUCCGUGCCAGCCGCCGCGGUAAUUC